GGAAUCUUGGACCAUGGGCGCAAGCCUGAUCCAGCCAUGCCGCGUGAGUGAUGAAGGCCCUAGGGUUGUAAAGCUCUUUCAGCGAGGAGGAUAAUGACGUUACUCGCAGAAGAAGCCCCGGCUAACUUCGUGCCAGCAGCCGCGGUAAUACGAAGGGGGCUAGCGGUGUUCGGAAUCACUGGGCGUAAAGCGCACGUCGGCGGACUUUUAAGGCAGGGGUGAAAUCCCGGGGCUCACCCCCGGAACUGCCUGUGAUACUGGAAGUCUUGAGUCCGAGAGAGGUGAGUGGAAUUCCGAGUGUAGAGGUGAAAUUCGUAGAGAUUCGGAAGAACACCAGUGGCGAAGGCGGCUCACUGGCUCGGUACUGACGCUGAGGUGCGAAAGCGUGGGGAGCAAAC
rnacentral:rRNA from 1 species